GGUUGAUCCUGCGCAGUAGUCAUAUGCU
rnacentral:rRNA from 1 species